rnacentral:rRNA from 1 species
GACGUAGGGGGCCAGCGUUGUUCGGAAUUACUGGGCGUAAAGCGUGCGUAGACGGUUAUGUAAGUCGGGUGUGAAAGCCCCGGGCUCAACCUGGGAAUGCCAUUCGAGACUGCAUAGCUAGGGUGCGGAAGAGGGAAGCGGAAUUUCCGGUGUAGCGGUGAAAUGCGUAGAUAUCGGAAGGAACACCAGUGGCGAAAGCGGCUUCCUGGUCCAGCACCGACGUUCAGGCACGAAAGCGUGGGGAGCAAACAGG